rnacentral:rRNA from 1 species
UUUAAGCAUUAUCACUCAGUGGAGGAAGAGCAAGCAACUGCGAUUGCUUCAGUAACGGCGAGUGAACCGGCAAUGGGUCUCGACCCGAAGUGAUUCCCAACCGCACCCUGUGCGUUCGGCUUUCGUGGGUUUCAGCAUAUGCUGUGGGCUAUGGAGCGGGUGGCAGCUGCCCCGGGUGGCCAUUGCACCAGGAAGCGACCUGGAAUGGUCCACGAGAGAAGGAUACUGUCCUGUACACCCACCGUGUGCGGUGGUCAUCCGAGGUGCUGCUGCCUGCAUCCAGGAGUAGAGUGGCUUGGGACUGCAGUUUGAAGUGCGAGGUGUAUCCAUCGCAAGGAAGAAUACCGGCUUGAGACCGAUAGCGCACAAGUAGAGUGAUUGAAGGAUGCAAAGGACUUUGCAAAGAGGGUUAAAAGUCCCUGAAGCCGCGGCGGGAACGGCGGUGGAUGGUGCUGUGGCUUUGUGAUCCAGGUGGUUUGGCUCGUCCGUUGACGGUGGCGCUCCCUGGCCGGCCACCCGGUCAGACCCCCGGCAAUGGUUCGGGGCGAUCACGCUGAUCACUGCUGUGCGCUUGGUCUGGCAUCAGCCAACACUCGGGGCCUGACUCAACACAGCCCCGAGGAUGCCUCCCGACCCGGCCACAGGAUGCAAUUGACUCCAAGCGACCUUGGGCCAGCCCACUGCUGGCCACUGAGCCUAGCUCUCCAGGGUUGGAUGCAAUCGUGGCAGCAAUGUGGUGGCAAUCCGCUUGACUGGGCCUGAGGCUUGAGAGAUCCCAAAAGGGCGUGCAACGGUUCGGCGAUCCCGCGGCAUGGUGGUCCCCGCUCGGGGCUUGUCGCGGGGCGUCCGCAGCUUGUCUCCGGAAGUGAAUCACACAGCUUGUUCCUGGUGUGUCUUCGGACAUGCCAGUGCCCACGCCUGGCCAUGGCGGGGCUGGCGGUUCGGUCGUGGCUGCACCACUCUGAUGGUGGCCCGGUCGGACUGUCGGUCCUCCAGACAGUGUGUGGUGCUGAAGGCAGUGGAGCUUGGUACAGCAGUGCCAUUCCCUGCCCGUCUUGAAACACGGACCAAGGAGUCUAUGGAGCUUGCAGGUUAGCAGGUCGAAAACCGCAGUGCAUGGUGAAGGCAACAAACCCAGAUGGUGCUUGGAAGUGGGCUUUUCUCGACACAAGGGGCCGAGCGAGGGCUGCCACCGGGUGCGCACACCGCUCAAACCCGGCCGUCGCUCCGGUCACGUGGCAUGUGGGAACGAGACCGCCGACCCCUACAAACGCUAGGGGGCGCGCCUUUCAGAGUCUGUGCCACCAGGAGUUGGCUGUUCGGUGCGAUUGUUUUGUGAGUGCGCCCAGUCGGUGUGUGCAAGUGCGCCCGGUCCCCGCCCAAGGCAAGAGUGCAGCAAGGGACACCGGUCCCGAAGUCCAGUGGACAGGGUUCUGAGUGAGUGCAAGGUCCAUGGGACCCGAAAGGUGGUGAACUAUACCGUUCUAUGACGAAGCCGUGGGAAACUGCGGUGGAGGUCAGUCGCUGUUCUGACGUGCAAAUUGUGUAGCCUGAGUGUGGCAUAGGGGUGAAAGGCCAAUCGAGCCACCUAGUAGCUGGUUUCCCUCGAAGUUUCCCUCAGGAUAGCUGGGCUCGAAUGCAUCAUCCAAGUGAUUGUGUCCGGUAAAGCAACGCAUGAGAGGCAACCCCGGGGAGGCUUCCCUCCUCGACCUAUUCUCGAACUGUGAAUGGGCACGGCAAACACCAAAUGCAUGCUUCUUCACCGUGCUGGAGGCGGUGUAACGGUCGUUCUUCCUGGCUUCUGAGCGUGUUCCAAGGUGGCAGCCUUCUCUGCCAAAAGACUGGUGAUUAUCCGAUCCUGCUCGAGCGUCCCCGGUGCUCUCCACACCAAACCGUGGGCAUGCGGCUCCCUCCGUGGGCCUGAACGCGGGGAUGAGUCCGGGUCGAUUGUCGCGGAUCCAUCGGGCGUUCGCACGGACUCCGUGCGUGGUUGUGACUCAAAGGCUGCUGCUAUGAUGAACAGACGUGCCUAUGUGGGCCAAAAUUGGUAAGCAGUGCUGGCGAUGCGGGGUGCUCCGAGAGUGGACUUAAAGAUCCAGAGUGCUGGCUCAUACCCAGAUCCCACAAAGGAUGUCGCCUGCUAGGAAUAGCAGGACGGUGGCCAUGAAGGUUGGAACCCGCUAAGGAAUGUGUAACAACUCACCUGCCGAAGCGUGCAGCUCCGAAAAUGGAUGGUGCCCAAGUCAGUGAAGCUGAAUUUGCCUUACAGUCCACCGCCGUUGUGGCAGCAAAGCAGAGCAUCGUUGUGUAGAAAGGACGUGGGAGAUUGCAGAGCCAGUUGGGAUUGCUCCCGGCUGAAGUGUCUUCUGGUGCAGAUCUUGGUUGCAGUAGCGAGUACUCCAUCGGGUGAAGAGCAGAACAACCCUGCUGUGUGCGGUUGAGGACUGGAGUGGAGCAGGUUUCCGCACCAAACAGCCGUUGAAUGCGGGUCAGCCGACCGUGAGUCAAGUGGUAAAUCACCGAACAACCAAAGCUGCCGUUCCCUUGGGAGCUGACCAGGCGUCCGGAGGCACACAGGGUGUCCAAGGUCCCCACCCCUCCCUCUCCCUCCGAGAGGAGGCGGGGGGCGCCACACCGAGCCAAAAGCUGUGGGCCACGGUCCUGGGUCUCAAUCGGUCUUGGCAGGAGUGGCAAACAGGCAAGCAAGUGCAACAUUCUGCUGUGAUGGGCUUGGGGUGCCCAUGGUGGUAACACCAUUGACUGGUGCAAGCAGGCUUCGGGGCAGUGCACUCCCUGAGGAGUUCUCGUUUCCUCCUGAUGCAGGCUCAUGCGGGCUAUCGAUUGCAUUUCAUGGUGGAGGGAUAUGCCCUCCGCACAGCAAGGCAGCAUGCUCUCUAUGCUGAUGGUCUCAGACACAAAGCGCUCAAAGCACUGGCAAGGUGUGAAGCUAUUGAUGGUCACUGGCUCCAAUGAACGGCCUGCGGGACAACGUGCCCCUGGUCCCUGGCUUUCGUACUGAAUCACCGCAGCCGGUCUCCUCGGCUGAACGCCGCUUGUCCACGGACGAAAUGCAGCUAAGGGAAGUCGGCAAACUAGCCAUGUACCUUUGGAAGAUGUGGUGGCUCCAGAGGUCAAGUCAUCGGGCCCAGCUGUGGGUUGUGUGGCGUGGUGGUGGACGCCUUCGCGGGUGGUUUCGGCCAUCUGUGGGGGAGUGUCUGCCUUCCGCCCGCACCUCUCUGUGGUUGGGGACCGUCGGCCCUCGGGCCUGGCGGUCCAUCCUGGUGUCUACUGAGUGACUCGUGUGGAACUGUUGCUGUGCAGGGGAAUCUGACUGUUUAAUUGAAACACAGCUUUGUGACGGGACCAGCUGGCUGGUGCCAUGAGGUGACUUCUGCCCAGUGCUCUGAUUGUUACUGCGAAGAGAUUCAGCCAAGCGCGGGUAAACGGCGGGAGUAACUAUGACUCUCUUAAGGUAGCCAAAUGCCUCGUCAACCAAUUAUUGACGCGCAUGAAUGGAUCAACGAGAUUCCUGCUGUCCCUAGUUGCUGUCUGGUGAACCAACAGCCAAGGGAACGGGCUUGGGUGUGUCAGCGGGGAAAGAAGA